rnacentral:rRNA from 1 species
GCUCACGGCCAUACCAGCCUGGGUACGCCCGAUCUCGUCUGAUCUCGGAAGCUAAGCAGGGUCGGGCCUGGUUAGUACUUGGAUGGGAGACCGCCUGGGAAAACCAAGUGCUGUAAGCA